ACUCAAACGUUAAUUAAAAAACCUAAAACAUGAUUUCUAUGUGACAAUAAAUCAACACGCUGAAGUUUUAACUAGUAAUCCUAGAACAAAUUGCCUAGGUGAUAAAGUAAUCCAAUAAUUAAAACAUCUAAGUCACAUAAUCCCGCCCACCAUAAGAAGUUCCCAUAAUUUCAUUACAUAUCGGUGUUUAUAAAAUAAUAAUUACAGACCUGAGAUAAAUAUGAAAAGAAAACAAAAUCUAAGAGGCUAAAAAUGGGUCUUUAACAAAACCCCUGGCGACUCUUCUUUCCCUCAACCAAACUCAAGCAAGGACCUAUUAAACAGAACUAUGCACGACAAAUUGCAAAAAACAAAAAAUCAAGAAGCAAACAAUCUCGUAUAAUGGCCACAUAAUAGAAUCAUGUAAGUAGCACGGAAGUGAAGAAAAUACUAUAUAUAAGAAUCAAAAUUGCUUCGUUAGAGACUAACUAUUAAGAAAUAAGUAGAUAAUAAUAAGAAGAUUUAAUCACUACACGAUAGAAGACCGAACAGCAAGAUGACACCCCAGAGAGAGCUCUUACAAAGCCAAAAGUCAAA
rnacentral:lncRNA from 1 species